rnacentral:lncRNA from 1 species
UGCAGCUCUGGCAGCAGACACAAGCCUCGGCCGUUGUCAGGAGCAGCAGCGUGGGCCCCACCGAAGCCCAUCCUGUGGGAGCCCAGCUGGCCGCAGGGAGCCGGUCUCCGCGCACAGCGCAGAGGGACACAAGCAGUUCCCCUCGGGGCUGCCUGGGCCUGCGGGGGCAUCUGAGGAGGAGGCUCGCUGAGGGCGAGGGUUUCUUGCUCCCAGGAUGGGAGUCCAGGUGCCUGUGGGGCAGGGGAAGGGCCACAAUUUGGGCCUGCCCCGUGGUGGGCUCCAGAUUUCCAUGGGGGCCCAGGAGAGCAGGGUCCUCAGAGGCCCGGAGAAGCCAGAGACGAGUGGCAUUAUGUGAACCUUCUCGUUCUUGCAUGCAGAGAAACCUGGGUUAAGCUGGCAGUGAAGCCAUGCUCUCUCAGGCCAAGGCCAGACUGGAUCCGGGCUUCCGGUCAGCAGCAGAUGUGGGGCUCAGAAGACGACCCAGUACUUAGGGGAAAAGCACAGAAAACGGAAUCUGCAGGGAAAAUAGAAGAUGAGCAGGCGGUCCGAGAGCAAGGGGAUCCCGGGAGCAGGGGCCGCCUGGAAAGUUGAGGUCAAGUCUGGAUGGACCCUAAAAAGGUUUGGGGCCCAGCUUCCACCUGGCCUUGACCGUAUUUGUGCAGCUGCUCUUGGGGGCUCAGCCUGCAGCCUUCAGCCACCACUCCCCAGCACCCAGCCUGUCCCUGCCUGGACUUCCGCCCUCCUGCACCUCUGGGAAGGACAGAGCAGGAGAGGAGUACACACCUGCCAGCCUCUGCACCCCUUCCCCCACUUUGGCCGGGCCUGUUUUCUCACCCCUAAGCGACGUGGUGGAUGUGUACCAGCGGGAGUUCCUGGCGCUGCGGGACCGGCUGCACGCGGCGG